GUGUCAGCAGCCGCGGUAACACGUAGGUGGCGAGCGUUGUCCGGAAUCUCUGGGUGUAAAGGGCGUGUAGGCGGGGUAGCAAGUCAGAUGUGAAAUUCCAGGGCUCAACCCUGGAGGUGCAUCUGAAACUGUUACUCUUGAGUGCCGGAGAGGAAAGUGGAAUUCCUAGUGUAGCGGUGAAAUGCGUAGAGAUUAGGAGGAACACCAGUGGCGAAGGCGGCUUUCUGGACGGUAACUGACGCUGAGGCGCGAAAGCGUGGGGAGCGAACAGGAUUAGAUACCCUGGUAGUCCACGCCGUAAACGAUGGAUACUAGGUGUAGGGGGUAUCGACCCCCUCUGUGCCGGAGUUAACACAAUAAGUAUCCCACCUGGGGAGUACGACCGCAAGGUUGAAACUUAAAUGAAUUGACGGGG
rnacentral:rRNA from 1 species